rnacentral:rRNA from 1 species
UAAGGGCGCACGGUGGAUGCCUUGGCACUAGAAGCCGAUGAAGGACGUUACUAACGACGAUAUGCUUUGGGGAGCUGUAAGUAAGCUUUGAUCCAGAGAUUUCCGAAUGGGGAAACCCAGCAUGAGUUAUGUCAUGUUAUCGAUAUGUGAAUACAUAGCAUAUCAGAAGGCACACCCGGAGAACUGAAACAUCUUAGUACCCGGAGGAAGAGAAAGAAAAUUCGAUUCCCUUAGUAGCGGCGAGCGAAACGGGAAGAGCCCAAACCAACAAGCUUGCUUGUUGGGGUUGUAGGACACUCUAUACGGAGUUACAAAGGACGACAUUAGACGAAUCAUCUGGAAAGAUGAAUCAAAGAAGGUAAUAAUCCUGUAGUCGAAAAUGUUGUCUCUCUUGAGUGGAUCCUGAGUACGACGGAGCACGUGAAAUUCCGUCGGAAUCUGGGAGGACCAUCUCCUAAGGCUAAAUACUCUCUAGUGACCGAUAGUGAACCAGUACCGUGAGGGAAAGGUGAAAAGCACCCCGGAAGGGGAGUGAAAUAGAACCUGAAACCGUGUGCUUACAAGUAGUCAGAGCCCGUUAAUGGGUGAUGGCGUGCCUUUUGUAGAAUGAACCGGCGAGUUACGAUUUGAUGCAAGGUUAAGCAGUAAAUGUGGAGCCGUAGCGAAAGCGAGUCUGAAUAGGGCGUUUAGUAUUUGGUCGUAGACCCGAAACCAGGUGAUCUACCCUUGGUCAGGUUGAAGUUCAGGUAACACUGAAUGGAGGACCGAACCGACUUACGUUGAAAAGUGAGCGGAUGAACUGAGGGUAGCGGAGAAAUUCCAAUCGAACCUGGAGAUAGCUGGUUCUCUCCGAAAUAGCUUUAGGGCUAGCCUCAAGUGAUGAUUAUUGGAGGUAGAGCACUGUUUGGACGAGGGGCCCCUCUCGGGUUACCGAAUUCAGACAAACUCCGAAUGCCAAUUAAUUUAACUUGGGAGUCAGAACAUGGGUGAUAAGGUCCGUGUUCGAAAGGGAAACAGCCCAGACCACCAGCUAAGGUCCCAAAAUAUAUGUUAAGUGGAAAAGGAUGUGGCGUUGCCCAGACAACUAGGAUGUUGGCUUAGAAGCAGCCAUCAUUUAAAGAGUGCGUAAUAGCUCACUAGUCGAGUGACACUGCGCCGAAAAUGUACCGGGGCUAAACAUAUUACCGAAGCUGUGGAUUGUCCUUUGGACAAUGGUAGGAGAGCGUUCUAAGGGCGUUGAAGCAUGAUCGUAAGGACAUGUGGAGCGCUUAGAAGUGAGAAUGCCGGUGUGAGUAGCGAAAGACGGGUGAGAAUCCCGUCCACCGAUUGACUAAGGUUUCCAGAGGAAGGCUCGUCCGCUCUGGGUUAGUCGGGUCCUAAGCUGAGGCCGACAGGCGUAGGCGAUGGAUAACAGGUUGAUAUUCCUGUACCACCUAUAAUCGUUUUAAUCGAUGGGGGGACGCAGUAGGAUAGGCGAAGCGUGCGAUUGGAUUGCACGUCUAAGCAGUAAGGCUGAGUAUUAGGCAAAUCCGGUACUCGUUAAGGCUGAGCUGUGAUGGGGAGAAGACAUUGUGUCUUCGAGUCGUUGAUUUCACACUGCCGAGAAAAGCCUCUAGAUAGAAAAUAGGUGCCCGUACCGCAAACCGACACAGGUAGUCAAGAUGAGAAUUCUAAGGUGAGCGAGCGAACUCUCGUUAAGGAACUCGGCAAAAUGACCCCGUAACUUCGGGAGAAGGGGUGCUCUUUAGGGUUAACGCCCAGAAGAGCCGCAGUGAAUAGGCCCAAGCGACUGUUUAUCAAAAACACAGGUCUCUGCUAAACCGUAAGGUGAUGUAUAGGGGCUGACGCCUGCCCGGUGCUGGAAGGUUAAGAGGAGUGGUUAGCUUCUGCGAAGCUACGAAUCGAAGCCCCAGUAAACGGCGGCCGUAACUAUAACGGUCCUAAGGUAGCGAAAUUCCUUGUCGGGUAAGUUCCGACCCGCACGAAAGGCGUAACGAUUUGGGCACUGUCUCAACGAGAGACUCGGUGAAAUCAUAGUACCUGUGAAGAUGCAGGUUACCCGCGACAGGACGGAAAGACCCCGUGGAGCUUUACUGUAGCCUGAUAUUGAAAUUCGGCACAGCUUGUACAGGAUAGGUAGGAGCCUUUGAAACGUGAGCGCUAGCUUACGUGGAGGCGCUGGUGGGAUACUACCCUAGCUGUGUU